GCCGCGGUAAUUCCAGCUCCAGUAGUGUAUAUUAAAGUUGUUGCAGUUAAAAAGCUCGUAGUUGAAGUUUGGGGCUGGUCGAGGGGUUGCUGGGGCUGUAAAAGGUCCCCUUCUCCUUGGCCUCUUCAAAUGGGCGGUUGGGUCUCUGAUCCUUCCGCCAUUGUACCUCGAAUAAAUUAGAUUGUUCAAGGAAGGCCAUUUGGCUGGAAUAUUUUAGCAUGGAAUAGCGAAACAGGGCUUUGGGGACAAGCUUGGUCGGCUUUGUUUGUCUCUAGCAAUGAUGGAUAGGGGUGGGGGGGGGCGUGGGUAUUGGGCAGCUAGAGGUGAAAUUCUUAGAUUUACUCAAGACCAACACAAGCGAAAGCUCUCGCCAACUACAUCCCCAUUAAUCAAGAACGAAAGAUGAGGGAUCGAAGAUGAUUAGAUACCGUCGUAGUCUCAUCAGUAAACGAUGACGUCCGACCGUUUGAGGGUGGUUUUCUUCUAAAUAGCCCCCUUAAGCGGUUCAGAGAAAUCGAAAGACUUUGGUCUCUGGGGGGAGUAUGGUCGCAAGACUGAAACUUAAAGGAAUUAACGGAAGGGCACCACCAGGAGUGGAGUUUGCGGCUUAAUUUGACCCAACACGGGAAAACUUACCAGGUCCGGACAUUUGAAGGAUUGACAGGUUGAAGCCCUUUCAAGAUUAGAUGGCAGGUGGUGCAUGGCCGUUCUUAGUUGGUGGUGUGAACUGUCUGCCUAAUUGCGAUAACGAACGAGACCAUUACAAGUCGUUAACAGGGCGAGUUGGUUGAGGCAAGGGCAACCUCCUCGGUCGCAAAACUCAGUUCUGUUUCCAACUUGGACUACCCGGGAAAACCGGGGGGAAGCUAUUGGCAAUAACAGGUCUGUGAUGCCCUUAGAUGUUCUGGGCUGCACGCGCACUACAAUGCAUCCGGCACUGGGCACAGCGGGGAAGGCUUCGCAAGGAGUUAAAGCCCCGCGCCUCGGCCGGUAGGCCAGGGUAAUCCUGUAAACGGAUGCGUGAUUGGGCUAGAUGAUUGCAAUUAUUCAUCUUCAACGAGGAAUUCCUAGUAAGUGCGGUUCAUCAAACCGCGCUGAUUAUGUCCCUGCCCUUUGUACACACCGCCCGUCGCUCCUACCGAUUGAACGCUUCGGUGAGGGUUUGGGAGAGCGUGGAGGGGGUGACCUCUUUGUGCUCAAACUUACUCAAAUCACAGCGUUUAGAGGAAGGAGAAGUCGUAUCAAGGUU
rnacentral:rRNA from 1 species